rnacentral:lncRNA from 1 species
UUUUUUUUUUUUUGUGACUGCUUCGGGAUUUAUACUCUACAUCUUUAAUUUAUCUCAGUGUGUCUUCAAGUGAUACUUACCACUUCAUAUAUACUAUAAAGAUCUUGCAUCACUUUGCUUUGUUUUUUACCUCUCUUGACCUUUGUAAUAUUGUCCUCAUACAUUUUAUUCUACACAUUUUUAAAAACCCUCAAUUCAUUGUGACUAUUUUUGCUUUAAAAAGCCAAUUUUCCCUUAAAGAGAUUUCAAAGAAAACAAGGCUUUCAUAUUUAUACAUAUAGUUACCACUCUCAGUGCUAUUUAUCCCUUUAUGCUGAUAGGAUUUCCAUCUGGGAUCAUAUCCUUUCCAUCUGAAGGAAUGCCUUUAACAUUCUUGUGAAGAUCUGGUGGUAAUGAAAUCUUUCAGCUUCUAAAAUUGUUUCCAUUUUAUAUCUUUUUAUCAGUUAUAUCUUCAUUUGAAAGAUAUUUUUUCUGGGUAUAGAAUCCUAGGUUGACUUUUUUCUUUCAGUGGGUAGGGUAUCCAGCAUUACUGUGAGCUGUGGUAUAUGUUUCAGACUUGGCUUAGACCCCGUGUUGCUGUGGCUGUGGUGUAUGUUGGUGUAACUCCCAUUGGACCCCUAGCCUGGGAACUUCCACAUGCCAUGGGUGUGGCCUUAAAAAGCAAAAGGAAAAAGAAAAGAAAAAUGAAAAACCAAAAAUGUGUAUGAGAGGGACACCAACUGGAAAUAAAAGAAACUCCUAACCUAUCUUUCAAUAUUGGCAGAGGAAUAAUUCAUCAAACAACAUGAAGAACUACAGUAAUGCUACGCAAAAAGAAAAUGACAAUUCUCCAGACACUAAACUUAGAGUCACAACAUAUUGUCAUCUAACUGACAGAGAAUUCAGAAAAGCUGUCAGAAGGAAACUCCAUGAGAUACAAGAAAACACAGGAAAAACUUUUAAUGAGCUCAGGAAUAAAAUUAAUGACUAGAAGGAAUAUUCUACCAAAGAGACUGAAAUUCUAAAAAAGAACGAAGCAAACUGGUGCUGAAGGACAUCAUGAAUGAGCUAAAGAAUGCAUUAGAAAGCACUCAAAAUAAAGCAGACUAUAUCAAAAAAAUAAUUAGUGAGCUCAAAGAUAGAAAUCUAAAAAUGAUGCAAGCAGAAAGAAAACAAAAAUAAGACAUUUUAAAAGUGAGGAAAUCCUACAAGAGCUCUUCCACUCUUUUCCAAAGGGCAACAUGAGGAUAAUGGGUAUCCCAGAAGGAGAAGAAAAGGAAAAGGGAGCAGAGAGGUUAUUUAAAGAAAUAAUAGCUGAGGAGUUCCCACCGUGGCGCAGUGGUUAAUGAAUCCAACUAGGAACCAUGAGGUUGCAGGUUCGAUCCCUGGCCUUGCUCAGUGGGUUAGGGAUCUGGCGUUGCCGUGAGCUGUGGUGUAGGUCGCAGAUGCAGCUCGGAUCCUGCGUUGCUGUGACUCUGGCGUAGGCCGGUGGCUACAGCCCCGAUUCGACCCCUAGCCUGGGAACCUCCAUGUGUUGCGGGAAGCGGCCCUAGAAAAGGCAAAAAGACAAAAAAAAAGAAAGAAAGAAAGAAAUAAUAGCUGAAAACUUCCCAAACCUGGGGAAGGAACUGGAUACACAAGUCAAUGAAGCUAAGAGAAUACCUAAUUACCUCAAUGCAAAAAGACCUUCUCCAAGACACAUAAUAUUAAAAUUGCCAACAGUCAGAGUUCCUUUCCUGGCUCAGAGAUUAACGAACCCAACUAGGAUCCAUGAGGAUGCAGGUUUGACCCCUGGCCUCGCUCAGUGGGCUAAGGAUCCAACGUUGCCAUGAGCUGUGGUGUAGGUCUCAGAUGCAGCUGGGAUACUCUGCUGCUUUGGCUGUGGUGUAGGCCAGCUGCUGUAACUCUGAUUCAACCCCUGGCUUGGGAACUUCUAUAUGCCCUGGGUGUAGCCCUAAAAAGAAAAAAAAAUUUUCCAAAGUCAAUGACAAAGAAAGAAUUUUCAAGGCAGCCAGAGAAAAAAGAAUGGUAACCUAUAAAGGAACACCCCUUAGGCUAUCAGCUUAUUUCUUAGCAGAAACCCUACAAGCUAGGGGGGAAUAAAAUGACAUUCUAAAAACAAUGAAAGAGGAGUUCCCAUUGUGACUCAGCGAAAACAAACCUAACUAGUAUCCAUGAGGACAUGGGUUCAAUCCCUAGCCUCGUUCAAUGGGUUAAGGAUCUGGUGUUGCCAUGAGAUGUGAUGUAGGUCACAGACACAGCUCAGAUCUAGCGUUGCUUGUGGCUGUGGCCUAGGCCAGCAGCUAUAGCUCCAAUUCAACUCCUAGCCUGGGAACUUCCAUACGCUGAGGGUGCAGCCCUAAAAUAAAAUAAAAUAAAAUAAAAUAAAAUAAAAUGAAAUGAAAACACUGAAAGAUUAAAAACCAUCACCCAAGAAUAUUCUAUCCAGAAAAGUUAUCAUUCAGAUAUAAAGGAAAAAGAAAGACAUUCUCGGACCCCAAAAAAGAAAAAAAAAGCUGAGGGAGUUUAUUCACACCAGAUCUGCCUUAUAGGAGAUAAGUGAAAGGAGCUCUUCUACCAGAAACAAAGCAGCCAAAAUACACAAAACUUUGAGCAAGGGGGUAAGUACACAGAACCAGAAAACUGCAACUCUAUCAGAUUUUAUAGAUUUUUUUAACACUCUAUUAUAGUAUAAAGAUUAAAGGGAGAAAAAAGAAAGCAGGAAAACAACUAUAACUAUCUCAGUUUGGUAAUAAACUCACAACAUAAGAAGAGAUAAUUCAAGACAACAAAAACAUAAAAGGAUAAGAGGAAAGGACAGAACUCAUGAAAGUAAAUGAAGAUAAGAUGCAAUCAACUGAAAAAGGAUACUUUAUGAGAUAGUUACACAAACCUCUGGGUAACCACAGAACAUAAACAUAGAGCGGAGAUGUAAAAGAGUGAAAAAGAAAAAAAAAAGGGAAAUUGAGAAAAAUAUAGAAAACCACCAAACCAAAAUGGCAGACAGAAAUACACAGAAAAGGGAGUUCCCAUUGUGGCUCAGCAUUAACAGACCCAACUAGUAACCAUGAGGAUGCGGGUUUGAUCCCUGGGCUCGCUCAGUGGAUUAAGGAUCCAUCGUUGCCGUGAGCUGUCAUGUAGGUUGAAGAUGCAGCUCAGAUCCUGCGUUACUCUGGCUGUGGUGUAAGCCAGCAGAUGUAGCUAUGAUUCAACCCCUAGCCUGGGAACUUCCAUGUGCUGCGGGUGUGGCCCUAAAAAGACAAAAACAAAAAACAAAACAAAAAAAAAAUGAAAAUAUGACCUACCAAAAUCUAUGGGAUACAGCAAAAGUGAUACCAAGUGAUACUAAAAUCUCAAGCGAUCUAACCUUACACUUAAAGGAACAGAAAGGAUGCACCUCAACAUAUUAAAAGCCGUAUAUGACAAAACCAGAGCUGAGAGCACAUUCAAUGGUGAAAAACUGUGCGCUAUCCCUCUCAGAUCAGUAACAAAACACAGAUGCCCACUGUCACCACUCCUAUUCAGAAGGCAAGAAAAUUAGGCAAGAAAAAAAAAUACAUCCCAUUUGGAAAGGAAGAAGUACCAUCAUUAUUUGCAGAGGACAUGAUUUUAUAUAUAGAAAACCCUAAAGAUUCCACUUUAAAAAACUAUUAUAAAUUAUACAUGAACGCAGCUAGGUUGCAGGACACAAAGUCAAUAUACAAAAUCUGUUGCAUUUCUUUUUUUAAGAGUUUUAUUUUUUCUUACAGUUGAUUUACAAUGUUCUGUCGACUUCUGCUGUACAGCAAAGUGAUAUAUAUACAUAUCCCCCAUGGUUACACACACACAAAAUAUAUAUAUAU